UGGGGAAUAUUGCGCAAUGGGGGAAACCCUGACGCAGCGACGCCGCGUGCGGGAUGAAGGCCUUCGGGUUGUAAACCGCUUUUGAUUGGGAGCAAGCUUUCGGGUGAGUGUACCUUUCGAAUAAGCGCCGGCUAACUACGUGCCAGCAGCUGCGGUAAUACGUAGGGCGCAAGCGUUAUCUGGAAUUAUUGGGCGUAAAGCGAGCGCAGGCGGUUAGAAAAGUCUGAAGUGAAAGGCAGUGGCUCAACCUUUGUAGGCUUUGGAAACUGUUUAACUUUAGUGCAGAAGGGGAGAGUGGAAUUCCAUGUGUAGCGGUGAAAUGCGUAGAUAUAUGGAGGAACACCGGUGGCGAAGUCUAGUCUUUGGUCUGUAACUGACGCUGAAGCUUGAAAGCGUGGGUAGCAAACAGG
rnacentral:rRNA from 1 species